rnacentral:rRNA from 1 species
UGUAAUCCUCAUAAUCCCGCUGGAAGGGUAUGGACACGUGAGGAACUAAGUCGUAUCGGCAAGAUCUGUAUCCGUAAUGGCCUAAUAGUCGUAUCAGAUGAGAUACAUUGCGAACUCGUAUUUCCGGGAUAUACUUUUACACCGUUCGCAUCUAUCUCAGAAGAAUUCCUACGGCAUUCCGUGACAUGCCUGUCGCCUAGCAAGGCUUUCAAUAUCGCUGGAUUACAAAUCGCCAAUAUCGUGUGUUACGAUGAGAACCUACGUCGGAAGAUAGACCGGGCAAUCAAUAUCAACGAGGUAUGCGAUGUGAAUCCUUUUGGUGUAAUAGCUACCAUAGCGGCCUAUAAUGAGGGAGAGGAAUGGCUGUCGCAACUGAUCGAUUAUUUAUGGCAGAAUUACUUAUACAUGAAAGAUUUUUGCGGGAAAUAUCUGCCGGACUUUCCGAUAACCUUGUUGGAAGGCACUUAUCUUGUAUGGAUGGAUUGCCGUAAGUUAGGUAAAUCAUCGGAAGAAUUGGAGCACUUGCUGAUCGAGAAAGCGAAGCUAUGGCUCAAUGCCGGAACGAUGUAUGGAGCAGAAGGCGAAGGUUUCAUGCGUUGGAAUAUCGCUUGUCCACGUUCCUCGCUGAUAAACCGGCGAGUUAUAGUAACGAGCAAGCUUAAGGUAUUCAGUACCGGAGGCGAAGCGAGAGCGAGUCUGAAUAGGGCGUAAAAAGUUCGUUGCCAUAGACCCGAAACCGGGUGACCUAACCAUGAGCAGGCUGAAGUGAGAGUAAAAUCUCAUGGAGGGCCGAACGCACGUUCGUUGCAAUGACCGGCGAUGACUUGUGGUUAGCGGAGAAAUUCCAAUCGAACUCGGAGAUAGCUGGUUCUCCCCGAAAUAGCUUUAGGGCUAGCGUUAUCUUAGAUUACCGGAGGUAAAGCACUGAAUGGGCUAGGGGGCGAUAAGCUUACUGAACCCUAUCAAACUCUGAAUGCCGGAUAAUUGAUGGAUAGCAGUCAGACAGUGUGAGAUAAGUUUCAUUGUCAAAAGGGAAACAGCCCAGACCCACAGCUAAGGUCCCAAAUGUAUGUUAAGUGGAAAAGGAUGUCCAGUUGCACAAACAACCAGGAUGUUGGCUUAGAAGCAGCCACACAUUCAAAGAGUGCGUAACAGCUCACUGGUCGAGUGACCGGGCGCCGAAAAUGUAACGGGGCUAAACAUACAACCGAAGCUUGGGCUGCACAGCAAUGUGCGGGGUAGGGGAGCGUUGUGUGCGGGGAGAAGCACGAGCGGAAGCGCGUGUGGACUGCACAGAAGUGAGAAUGCCGGAAUGAGUAGCGCGAAUUAUGUGAGAAUCAUAAUGGCCGAAAGCCUAAGGUUUCUGGAGGAAGGUUCGUCCGCUCCAGGUUAGCCGGGAGCUAAGGUGAGGCCGAAAGGCGUAGCCGAUGCACAUACGGUGGAGAUUCCGUAGCCAUCAAAAGAUUUAAGCAGAGGGACACAGUAGAAGGGUACAUGCCGGGCGUUGGUAGCCCCGGUUGUAAGGGACCGAAAUUAGAGUAGGGAAGAUGGACUUGGAUACUGGCGAGAAAAGCUCUGUGGAUAUCUGCGAUGCCCGUACCGCAAACCGACACAGGUAGGUAGGAAGAGGAUUCUAAGGCCAACGGGAGAAGGGUUGUUAAGGAACUCGGCAAGUUGACCCCGUAACUUCGGGAGAAGGGGUGCUCUGGAAACAGAGCCGCAGAGAAUAGGUCCAGGCAACUGUUUAGCAAAAACACAGCUCUCUGCUAAAUCGAAAGAUGAUGUAUAGGGGGUGACGCCUGCCCGGUGCUGGAAGGUUAAGAGGAGGAGUGAGAGCCCCGAAUCGAAGCCCCAGUAAACGGCGGCCGUAACUAUAACGGUCCUAAGGUAGCGAAAUUCCUUGUCAGGUAAGUUCUGACCCGCACGAAAGGCGUAAUGAUUUGGGCACUGUCUCAACAGCCCGCCCGGCGAAAUUGUAGUACUGGUGAAGAUGCCAGUUACCCGCA